GGGGACCUCUGCAGACUCCAUACGACUCGCUUUUAAACCCUGGGAGCUUUAGAACUCAAUACAACAAAAACACCAAGGUGACGAAGUUACCCUGGGGACAUUUCUGCAGAGGGACGAGAGUUUCUUCAUAACUUAGCUUUCUCUCUCUCUUUUUUUUUUUGUGGCUUAUUAUUAUUUUUUUCACCUUACGUAGAGAUGAACAGUUGGCCGGGUUUAUCUACAUUCAGGUGAAGUUCUGCUGCCUCUUCUCAAGUCCCCUUAUUUUGCUGCCCUUUUCCUUCUCUCCUUUGCUUUUCCCCAUUCUCAGUCCCCGCCCCGUUGGUCUGUAAAGGAAGACUUAAAGUGAACCCUAGCCAGCCUUUAUAAGACGAAUCUUUAGUAAGACUUAAGGAGGUUCAACCAAAAUUUUGGUUCGCCUCUCUUCCAGCUUCUCUUCUGAAACUGUUCUGUUUGGGCCUUGGUCAGCAGUGCCGCGAGAAAUUAGAUGUGCACAAGUACUUUGUUAUAAAAAGCGGGCAACAUUUAAAUAUAAAAAACAUGACUAUCACAACAGAACAUCAGAUCCUUUUCUGGUAAAUAAUCAACAGCAUAUUACUCUGGAAGAAGCCACUAUACACCUCCUAAAAAUAGUUGACAAAUGCCGAAUUGAUUACUAGUAGGCUAUUUUAAGGUAAGAUUUGCACUC
rnacentral:lncRNA from 1 species